UUGAGCCGAGGAUGAUUUAUUAGAGUUAUCCCUGUCUGAAAUGGCAUCUUUUGUGAAGGGUUGUGGUUUUCUGAGGCUCCA
ensembl:snoRNA small nucleolar RNA R38